rnacentral:rRNA from 1 species
CAGCAGCCGCGGGAAUACGAAGGGGGCUAGCGUUGUUCGGAUUUACUGGGCGUAAAGGGCGCGUAGGCGGACUGAUAAGUCAGGGGUGAAAUCCCAAGGCUCAACCUUGGAACUGCCUUUGAUACUGUUUGUCUUGAGUUCGAGAGAGGUAAGUGGAACUGCGAGUGUAGAGGUGAAAUUCGUAGAUAUUCGCAAGAACACCAGUGGCGAAGGCGGCUUACUGGCUCGAAACUGACGCUGAGGCGCGAAAGCGUGGGGAGCAAACAGGAUUAGAGACCCCAGUAGUCCCUGUCUCUUAUAC